rnacentral:rRNA from 1 species
UACGUAGGCGGCAAGCGUUGUCCGGAAUCAUUGGGCGUAAAGCGCGUGUAGGCGGUCCGGUAAGUCGGCUGUGAAAGUCCAGGGCUCAACCCUGGGAUGCCGGUCGAUACUGCCGGACUAGAGUUCGGAAGAGGCGAGUGGAAUUCCCGGUGUAGCGGUGAAAUGCGCAGAUAUCGGGAGGAACACCAAUGGCGAAGGCAGCUCGCUGGGACGUUACUGACGCUGAGACGCGAAAGCGUGGGGAGCAAACAGG